rnacentral:tRNA from 1 species
UGCAUCUGUGGCCGAGAGGCCGAAGGCAGCGGACUCAUAAUCCGCCAUCCUUAAAAGGACGUCGCUGGUUCGAAUCCAGCCAGAUGCAU